UACGGAGGGGGCUAGCGUUGUUCGGAAUUACUGGGCGUAAAGCGUACGUAGGCGGCUUUGUAAGUAAGAGGUGAAAGCCCGGAGCUCAACUCCGGAACUGCCUUUUAGACUGCAUCGCUUGAAUCCAGGAGAGGUGAGUGGAAUUCCGAGUGUAGAGGUGAAAUUCGUAGAUAUUCGGAAGAACACCAGUGGCGAAGGCGGCUCACUGGACUGGUAUUGACGCUGAGGUACGAAAGCGUGGGGAGCAAACAGG
rnacentral:rRNA from 1 species